AUUGACCUCGGAUCAGGUAGGGCCCGCUGAACUUAAGCAUAUCAAUAAGCGGAGGAA
rnacentral:rRNA from 1 species